rnacentral:rRNA from 1 species
UACGUAGGGUCCAAGCGUUGUCCGGAAUUAUUGGGCGUAAAGAGCUCGUAGGUGGUGUGUCGCGUCGGAUGUGAAAGCCCGGGGCUUAACCCCGGGUCUGCAUUCGGUACGGGCAUGCUGGAGUUCGGUAGGGGAGACUGGAAUUCCUGGUGUAGCGGUGAAAUGCGCAGAUAUCGGGAGGAACACCAAUUGCGAAGGCAGCUCGCUGGGACGUUACUGACGCUGAGACGCGAAAGCGUGGGGAGCAAACAGG